UACGUAGGGUGCAAGCGUUGUUCGGAAUCAUUGGGCGUAAAGGGCGCGUAGGCGGCCAAUCAAGUCCGACGUGAAAUUCCUCGGCUCAACCGGGGGCCUGCGUCGGAUACUGCUUGGCUUGAGUCCCGGAGAGGGUAGUGGAAUUCCCAGUGUAGCGGUGAAAUGCGUAGAUACUGGGAGGAACACCGGUGGCGAAGGCGGCUACCUGGACGGGUACUGACGCUGAGGCGCGAAAGCUAGGGGAGCAAACAGG
rnacentral:rRNA from 1 species